GACGAACCGUGCGAACGUUGUUCGGAUUCACUGGGCUUAAAGGGCGCGUAGGCGGGCCACCAAGUCCGGGGUGAAAUCCUUCGGCUUAACCGGAGAAUUGCCUGGGAUACUGGUGGUCUCGAGGGAGGUAGGGGCCGCGGGAACUUCCGGUGGAGCGGUGAAAUGCGUUGAUAUCGGAAGGAACGCCGGUGGCGAAAGCG
rnacentral:rRNA from 1 species